rnacentral:rRNA from 1 species
UACAGGGGGGGCAAGCGUUGUUCGGAAUUACUGGGCGUAAAGGGUUCGUAGGUGGCCACUUAAGUCAGACGUGAAAUCCCUCAGCUUAACUGGGGAACUGCGUCUGAUACUGAGUGGCUUGAGUGCAGGAGAGGAAUGCGGAAUUCCAGGUGUAGCGGUGAAAUGCGUAGAUAUCUGGAGGAACACCGGUGGCGAAGGCGGCAUUCUGGACUGUAACUGACACUGAGGCGCGAAAGCCAGGGGAGCGAACGGG